rnacentral:rRNA from 1 species
CACGUAGGGCGCAAGUGUUGUCCGGAAUUAUUGGGCGUAAAGAGCUCGUAGGCGGUCUGUUACGUCUGCUGCGAAAACCCGGGGCUUAACCCUGGGCUUGCAGUGGAUACGGGCAGACUAGAGGCAGGUAGGGGAGAAUGGAAUUCCCGGUGUAGCGGUGAAAUGCGCAGAUAUCGGGAGGAACACCGGUGGCGAAGGCGGUUCUCUGGGCCUGACCUGACGCUGAGGAGCGAAAGCGUGGGGAGCGAACAGG